GAUUCCCCUAGUAACUGCGAGUGAAGCGGGAAAAGCUCAAAUUUGAAAUCUGGCAGUCUCUUUUUUCUUCUUUGGCUGUCCGAGUUGUAAUCUAGAGAAGUGCUUACCUGCACUGGACCAUGUAUAAGUCUCCUGGAAUGGAGCGUCACAGAGGGUGAGAAUCCCGUCUUUGACAUGGACCGCCAGUGUGUUGUGGUGUGCUCUCAAAGAGUCGAGUUGUUUGGGAAUGCAGCUCUAAAUGGGUGGUAAACUCCAUCUAAAGCUAAAUAUUGGCGAGAGACCGAUAGUGAACAAGUACCGUGAGGGAAAGAUGAAAAGGACUUUGGAAAGAGAGUUAAACAGUAUGUGAAAUUGUUGAAAGGGAAACGCUUGAAGUCAGUUAUGUUGGCUAGGGAUCAACCUAGCUGUUUUUUUGCUGGGUGAAUUUCCUAGUCUGACAGGCCAACAUCAGUCUUGACUGCUGGAAAAGAGCAUAGGGAAUGUGGCACCUUUGGGUGUGUUAUAGCCCUUUGUCAUAUGUGGCAGUUGGGACUGAGGGAUGCAGCGUGCCAUUAGGCUGGGUCUUGACCACGUACACGCUUAGGAUGUUGGCUUUUAAUGGCUUCAAUCGACCCGUCUUGAAACACGGACCAAGGAGUCUAACAUGCCUGCGAGUGUUUGGGUGGGGAAAACCCUUGUGCACAAUGAAAGUGAAAGUUGAGAUCCCUGUCAUGGGGAGCAUCGACGCCCGGACCUGAGCUUUUAGCGACGGAUCCGCGGUAGAGCAUGCAUGUUGGGACCCGAAAGAUGGUGAACUAUGCCUGAAUAGGGCAAAGCCAGAGGAAACUCUGGUGGAGGCUCGUAGCGAUUCUGACGUGCAAAUCGAUCGUCAAAUUUGGGUAUAG
rnacentral:rRNA from 1 species